rnacentral:rRNA from 1 species
CCGCGAGGUGGAGCAAAUCCCUAAAAGCCAUCCCAGUUCGGAUCGCAGGCUGCAACCCGCCUGCGUGAAGUUGGAAUCGCUAGUAAUCGCGGAUCAGCAUGCCGCGGUGAAUACGUUCCCGGGCCUUGUACACACCGCCCGUCACACCAUGAGAGUCGGGAACACCCGAAGUCCGUAGCCUAACCGCAAGGGGGGCGCGGCCGAAGGUGGGUUCGAUAAUUGGGGUGAAGUCGUAACAAGGUACC